UGGUGUAGUUCUAGGUGAGGUUCACCUGCA
rnacentral:piRNA from 1 species